rnacentral:rRNA from 1 species
UACGAAGGGGGCUAGCGUUGCUCGGAUUGACUGGGCGUAAAGGGCGCGUAGGCGGUUCGUACAGUCAGACGUGAAAUUCCUGGGCUCAACCUGGGGGCUGCGUUUGAUACGUGCGGACUUGAGUGCGGAAGAGGGUCGUGGAAUUCCCAGUGUAGAGGUGAAAUUCGUAGAUAUUCGCAAGAACACCAGUGGCGAAGGCGACUCACUGGCCCGGUACUGACGCUGAGGCACGAAAGCGUGGGGAGCAAACAGG